rnacentral:rRNA from 1 species
AAUGAACGCUGGCGGCGCGCCUAAUACGUGCAAGUCGAGCGAGAAGACGUAGCAAUACGUUUGUAAAGCGGCGAACGGGUGAGGAAUACAUGGGUAACCUACCCUCGAGUGGGGAAGUAACUAGCCGAAAGGUUAGCUAACUACCGCGUACGCUCCUUGGACUUCGGUUCGAGGGAGGAAAGACGAUACCGUGGGUAUCGCGCUCUUGGUUGGGCUCAUGUCCUAUCAGCUUGUUGGUGAGGUAACGGCUCACCAAGGCUUCGACGGGUAGCUGGUCUGAGAGGACGAUCAGCCACACUGGCACUGCGA